rnacentral:rRNA from 1 species
UACGUAGGAGGCGAGCGUUGUUCGGAAUUAUUGGGCGUAAAGGGCGCGUAGGCGGUGCGGUAAGUCACCUGUGAAAUCUCCUGGCUCAACUGGGAGUCUGCAGGCGAAACUGCCGUGCUGGAGUAUGGGAGAGGUGCGUGGAAUUCCUGGUGUAGCGGUGAAAUGCGUAGAUAUCAGGAGGAACACCUGUGGCGAAAGCGGCGCACUGGACCAUAACUGACGCUGAGGCGCGAAAGCUAGGGGAGCAAACAGG